rnacentral:rRNA from 1 species
CACGUAGGAGGCGAGCGUUAUCCGGAUUCACUGGGCGUAAAGCGCGCGUAGGCGGUUUGUUAAGUCGGAUGUGAAAGCCCCUGGCUCAACUGGGGGAGGUCAUUCGAUACUGGCAGGCUUGAGGGUGAGAGAGGGGAGUGGAAUUCCCGGUGUAGCGGUGGAAUGCGUAGAGAUCGGGAGGAACACCAGUGGCGAAGGCGGCUCCCUGGCUCACUCCUGACGCUGAGAGCGCGAAAGCGUGGGGA